UCUCUGCGAUCAUCCGGGGCCAGUGCAGCCCAACAAGGGAGCGGUAGGACUCAAAGAAGUAAUUGUGAAAUAUGUGUGGACUGAAUCCUUACUUGGUCCUUGUAUUUUGGAGAUCCUUGAUUCGUCUGAGCCCUUGAGUCAGGCAGCACACUUGAGGUUUCUGGACGGGACCUGCCCUUUGCAGCCUUUGUCUUUGGAGGCCUUCAUUUGAGUUUAUAGAUGGCCCAGCCCUUGGUUCUUGGAGAAGGUCACCGCUUCCUUAGAACAGAGCAGCUCUUGAGGUAAGAAGGGAUAAUCCUCAGGAAACCCAUCUGGAAGAUCACCCCUCCAUCUCAGACCUCUCACCAGGGCCUCAGAACAGAGGCAGAAGAGGCCCAGGAAAGACUAUGCCAGAACUGCCUGGACAGAAGUAAUCCUUGGUCCUCCUACCCAGAAUGGGCAACACUGGGUGAUGUCACCACAUCCAGAAUUCCGGACUGUCUAGCGAUCAGCUUCAGAACUGAGGUGAGGCUGGCAGCACCGCCGAGGGCCCCUCACAGGAGGCUUUGUGAGGACACAGUCCAAGAAAAGGAGUCACCACCCGCAGAAGGGGACAUUGCCCCUUUGCCUGCCCUCAUCAGCCCCAGUCCCUUCGCUCUGCGCUUACUCUCCGCACAACCUAGAGAGAUGCUCCAUUACGCCUGCUGUUCUGAUGCUGUACCUUUACAGUUCUCUUCAGUUUUCCAAGAGCAACAGGAAAUGAACAAGUCACCGAGCCUCCCUGUCAUUUUGAGACAACACUUUACUGGGAUUAUUAGGAGAAUUAGACCCAGGAGGAUGAUUAAGCUUCCCUGCAGGAUUUUCCCUCAUCCAGAAACCCCAGGUGCCUGGCUUAAACCAACUGAAGAUGUCAAAGGGGCAUGUUUGCCUUUGCCGGGUAUGGGGACACGGACAGCAGAAUGAAACCAGGUGUUUGUGUUCCUGGGAGGGUGCCAUGAGCCAUUUUGAGGUUGGAGUGACAUCAGCAAGACGGCAGAAUAGGAGUUUUCUGCCCUCAUCCCCCAACAGACUACAGGAGAAGAGUACCUUUGUGGGAGCCCAGGAAUCCAGCAGUGAUGUCCCAGCACUAUGUUGGAGAAAAAACAAUCCAAGAAUAGAUGCACUGGAGAGAACAAGAAGGGACAGCUCUUCCCUACAGAAGAAUUCCAAUGAAUAAAUAUGGAAGGAAUGAAGAAAAUAGAAAUAUUACCACUAGAACACCAUCGGAAUCAUUGUUGCAGGAAAGAUCCUUUAAUGGAGGCUCAGAUUAGGUUUGAGGAGAACAGGAUAUAUGCAUAGACUCAAAGUAUCUUCUCCCCAAAAUAUUUAAUUACAGAUGGAAAGAUAGUAAGUUCACAGAAGAGAAAUCCUGCAGACACCACCUUAACCAAGUGAUCAACAUUAACGUCUGUGGUCGUAAGACAUUGUGAUACAUACUGAUACAAAAUUGGUAUUCUUGCCAGAAAUGCCUCAUCUCAACCUAAUCGUGAGAAAGCAUCAGAUAAAUCUAAGAGACUUUCUACAAAAUAACUGACCAGUGCUGUUUGGAAGUGUCAAGGUCAUGGAAGACAAGAAAAGACAGGAACUGUCACAGUUUGGAGUGUGGAAUCCUGGAUUCGAUCUUGGGACAGAAAAAGGAUAUUAAUGAAAAAAUUGGUAACAUCUGAAUAAAGGCUAUAGUUUGGUUAAUAG
ensembl:lncRNA